rnacentral:rRNA from 1 species
CAAUAGCGUAUAUUUAAAUUGCUGCAGUUAAAAAGCUCGUAGUUGGAUUUCGGGUGGGAAUGGCCGGUCCGCCGUUUCGGUGUGCACUUGCUACGCCCACCUUGCUGCCGGGGACGUGCUCUUGAGUUCACGCUCGGGACACGGAGUCGGCGAGGUUACUUUGAGUAAAUUAGAGUGUUCAAAGCAGGCCUACGCUCUGAAUACAUUAGCAUGGAAUAACACGAUAGGACUCUGGCCUAUCUUGUUGGUCUGUAGGACCGGAGUAAUGAUUAAGAGGGACAGUCGGGGGCAUUCGUAUUUCAUUGUCAGAGGUGAAAUUCUUGGAUUUAUGAAAGACGAACUACUGCGAAAGCAUUUGCCAAGGAUGUUUUCAUUAA